rnacentral:lncRNA from 1 species
GAAGAUAAGAAACACACAUGUCAAAAAGAGAAGAUAAGACACCACUAAGGUUGUGGUCCUGUUGAAAAAUUAUUCAUCUCUGACGCUCCUCAGGCGGAGCCCACAUAUAGAAUUCAUCGUCUAUUAUUGUAUAAUUUCACCAGGUUGUGGCCCAUCUAUCCUCAGCUGGAUUGCCCUUACUCUUAUGGCUGGUUCUGGGAAGACACUGUAUUUUUCUUGGUUAAUCACGAUUAGGAUUCAUACAUCACAUGUAUUAGCAGCUUCUCAGCAAUAAUUCAAAUGAGGCCGAAGGAAGAGGGGAGCCUCGAACUUUCGCCCAAGUACGAGGUAAAUGUUCUCAACAAAAUCACUGUAGCUAUAAGCUCUAAAAGUAAGUACGUACAAGUUGUGCCAAAUUAUUUUACUCUUUAACUUGUUCCAUUGCACCUCAUGCUUUGGGCAUCAUACUUCAUACACAGUAGUGACUUAACUGUCAGUGUCGUGAUAAUAAAAUUAUAUUACAAUUUUCUAGCCUGUUUCACAUUCACAGGCUGUGAAUCUCGAGAAACAUUCUUAGUGACCUGCAGUGUCUUCUUGCAGCUCAUGAUUCUUAAGCUUUGCCUUAAUAUGUCAAUCUCUCGUUCCUUCUUGUAUUGUUCAUGCUCCAUAGAAACUAUUCUGGAUUUUAGGCCUGCAAUCAUUUCUUCUUUGGCUUUGAUGUCUUUCUUUAGCUCUUCCACAGUGUCUUCCUCCUCUGCUCUCCAGUACAGCCCAUUUUCUACAGUAAAUGUCAUUGCUCUAUUAUAUCAACACACACACAGAGAGAGAGAUAUAUAUAUAUAUAUAUAUGUUCAUACUAAACAAGUGAAAUUCAACCAGACCAAAUUGCUUGUCGUAUGAGGGAGCUUGAAUUUAUAAGAACAUAUAAUUUAAAUGACCAUGUGGGAAGAUUAGAAAGAAAAAACAUUAUCUAUGAAGAUUAGAUCUGGUUAACUGUACAUAGGAAUCAAGCCAUUCCAUUUUUCAUCAAUUCCAAAUUCUUAAAUAUACUUUCAGUUAAAAUGAACAUGUAGGAAAUUCUGCUUUUUAUGCUUUUUUGCUUGUGAUGAGAGCAGAAAAAAUCACUUACUUUCAGAUGAAGAAAGAAAUUGAGAACCAUGCACCUACUGCUAAAUCCUGAUGUCGGUUAUCAUCAAAAUAUAAUUAAACACGAAAAUUGCAUCAUGUACAUAAUUUCAUGAGAGUGAGAGAGAGAGAGAGAGAGAGAGAGAGAGGGAGAGAGAUUUACAUACCACAAUGUGUCCUCUGAAUGAGUUCAUCAAGCUCCAUCUUAAUAGCCAGAUAAAGCUGCUUCCACUUCUCGACAGUCUCAUCUCUUCUUGCUCUCUCCUCCCUCAUUUGCUCAGCCAACAACACUUUCCACUCCUUCUCCCCACCACUCUUAUUAUUUCCAGCUCCCAAAACUAAGCCUGCAUCCUCAAUCCCUCUAAUUCUCUCCUCCUUCUCCUCCACCACCUUCCUCAACAUCUUCACCUCCUCCCGCAUCUUCUUCUUCUCUUGCUUCCACUCAGCCUCCUUGAAUGCAAACACCAUCAUGUCCCUCUCAUAUGCUGCACUCUCUUUCUUCCUCUCAUACACCAUCCCACUCAUUUCCUCUUGAAUAUUCCUCACCUUUUCUCUCAACCCACCAACAUCUACUUUCUCACUUGAAUUGCUCUUCCUCUUGCUAGCAAAACCCCCCAUCUUAAAACUUAAUUAUAAUUCUUCUUGCUAGCUAGAAGCUACUUUUUGGGGUCACUAAGAAGGGCCUGUGUGACAUAAAUUUUAUCCACAGGGGGAACAGAAGAGGCUCCUCUUGCUCUUCCACUUAAUGAAGAGUUAGAUAUGUUGUGUAUUUUAUAAGCCCCAUUGGAUUUCACUCUCACAAUGUUAAUAAUGAUUGAGGGAAGCAUAAAUGAGGCUCGUGAAGAAGACUGAAG